UGUUGUAGUUUGGUGAAGCACCAGAACUUACUACCAUGUUCCCCCGAAAAUAAGACAGUGUCUUAUAUUAUUUUUUACUCCCAAAGAUGCGCUAGGUCUUAUUUUCAGGGGAUGUCUUAUUUUUCCAUGAAGAAGAAUUCACAUUUAUUGUUGAACAAAUAAAUGAACAUUUUAUUAUAUACUAUACAGUAGCUGUCAUCACAAACCAACAUAAUGAAACCAGACAAACUGUGACUCCUGUCAAGAAUUUCUUGUUACUACCAUUAUUUCCAUAUACAACUGGUAUGUACAUUUACCAAUCCUGCAUGCUCUGGUGUUCUGUUUGGUGGGCGCCGGGCAUGCUUCCAAACAAAAGCUUUGCUAGGUCUUACUUUCAGGGGAGGCCUUAUAUUUAGCAAUUCAGCAGAAUCUCUACUAGGUCUUAUUUUUUGGGGAUGUCUUAUUUUCAGGGAAACAGGGUAGCAAAGAUGGAUAAAGGGCUUGUAAAACCACAAUUCCCAUGAACCCAUAGCAUUGAGCAAUUGCAGUCCAAGUCCUGCCCAGUUGUAUUAAUUUUAUGGUGUGGAUUUACCCAAACAUCUCCAUCACUUUACUCAAUGAGAAGGGAAUUACCCGGAAAUACUGUUCUUAAACUACAGUAGUGGAAUGCCAGUUAAAAUAUCUCUCUCCAGAGAUGUGUUAAGGCUUUGGUUGACAUGCACUUUCCUUGGAAGACCUUAUUGUAUUAGGCUAUAAUCUCGACCCACACGUUAUAAAUCCGAUGUUUGUUCCUCCCAGGAAUCCUGAGGCCGGGUGUGGAUCAUGGAAGCCGGACUCUACAGCGGAGGUGUGGAAAAGAAGACAACAUCGUUCUUUCCAGGCGCUCCUUCCUCGCGGCCUUAUCAGAACAUCGAAAGAAAUGUCAGCGCAGGAGGGGAAAUGUAAGCAAGGGCUGGCCUGACCCCACAAAAUAUCUCAUCCCUCCAGGCAAAGCAUGAAGGGCUUUCUUGUCUACGUCCAGCGAAAGAGGAUGUUUCGGCUCCGUAGUGAGGUCACGAAGGUGGUCCUUCCAUCUCAACCCACGUGGCUUGGAAACCAGGAAGGCCAAAGGAAGCCCCAUCCGUGUCCGUGGGUCCGCAUGCACGUGUGUGGGGACAUGAGGGAGUCCCUCGCCCGCGAGGACACCUCCGGCACACUCAACGACAUGUGAGGUGAUUUAUGGAGCAUUAGCACAUUUGUAAAAUAUAUUGUGUU
rnacentral:lncRNA from 1 species